rnacentral:rRNA from 1 species
UACACUCCUGCGGGAGGCAGCAGUGAGGAAUAUUGGCCAAUGGGUGGAAGCCUGAUCCAGCCAUCCCGCGUGCAGGAAGACGGCCCUAUGGGUUGUAAACUGCUUUUAUCUGGGGAUAAACCUACUUACGUGUAAGUAGCUGAAGGUACCAGAAGAAUAAGCACCGGCUAACUCCGUGCCAGCAGCCGCGGUAAUACGGAGGGUGCAAGCGUUAUCCGGAUUUAUUGGGUUUAAAGGGUCCGUAGGCGGACUGAUAAGUCAGUGGUGAAAUCCGACAGCUUAACUGUCGAACUGCCAUUGAUACUGUUAGUCUUGAGUAAGGUUGAAGUGGCUGGAAUAAGUAGUGUAGCGGUGAAAUGCAUAGAUAUUACUUAGAACACCAAUUGCGAAGGCAGGUCACUAAGUCUUAACUGACGCUGAUGGACGAAAGCGUGGGGAGCGAACAGGAUUAGAAACCCCAGUAGUCCCAU